rnacentral:rRNA from 1 species
GACGAACGCUGGCGGCGCGCCUAACACAUGCAAGUCGAGCGAGAACCAGGGCUUCGGCCCUGGGGAAAGCGGCGAACGGGUGAGUAACACGUGGGUAAUCUGCCCUCGGCACCGGGAUAGCCCGGGGAAACCCGGAUUAAUACCGGAUGGCCUAUCCACUCUUCGGAGCGGCUGGGAAAGGUAGCUUCAAGCCUCCGGCCGAGGAGGAGCCCGCGGCGGAUUAGCUUGUUGGUGAGGUAACGGCUCACCAAGGCAACGAUCCGUAGCUGGUCUGAGAGGACGAUCAGCCACACUGGG